UGGUGGGUGGUUGAAAGACCCGAGCUAACAUGGGGUUAGCUCGUUAAAUUACAAUAAAGCCUCGUGCAGUUUGCAGCAAGCUCUCGAAUCCGCCUGGUGAUUGGGGUGACCGCGAACCUGGCCUGAGACCCCGGAUACUUGAGUUUUCGGGGGUCUAACAUUUUGGGGGCUCGUCCGGGAUUUGCGACCACCCUUCACCUGAGUGGAUUCGAUCUUGGAGUUUAUAAUGUCAGACAGACUGCCAGAUCCGGACAGUGACCCAAAGUCUCCAAAGAAGAUUACGAGGCACCUCAGUUCCUGCACCUGGACCAGUGAGCGAGAUGCUCAGAUGUGAUACCUGCCGCCUGCCAGAACCUGGCCGAGACUGUGGACAAAGCUGCUGGACACUGGAAAAUUGAUUGCACCCCUUUGCCUAGACAAAACAAGGUUUCUGCUUCUGGCAGACAUCUGAAUAUCAGUUGCUGACUACAGACUGUUCUAAGACUGCGAGCCCUGGACUUGCUGUGGAUGUGAACCAGUUCAGCUGAUAUGGACACCCCCUGUCUCUGCAACAGUGUCUGCUACCCAGAAGCCCCUGAUAAAUUCCCCAUUGCCUAAAUCCCUUUUUGCUUUUGACUAGCAUUUCAACCUUCUGGGGUCCCUAACUUCGUCCCAAAGUCAGCAGAAAGC
rnacentral:lncRNA from 1 species